UUGCUUGCUUUUGCCUCCUCUCUUUCUCUUCUCUUUUCUUUUUGCUUCCCAUUAUUUUAUAUGGACAGAAGAUAAGGGUGGAGAAAAGGAAAAA
rnacentral:miRNA from 1 species